UACGGAGGGUGCAAGCGUUAUCCGGAUUCACUGGGUUUAAAGGGUGCGUAGGUGGACUUAUAAGUCAGUGGUGAAAGCUCCGAGCUUAACUUGGAAAUUGCCAUUGAUACUGUUAGUCUUGAGUUCGGUUGAGGUAGGCGGAAUAAGUCAUGUAGCGGUGAAAUGCUUAGAUAUGACAUAGAACACCGAUUGCGAAGGCAGCUUACCAAGCCGACACUGACACUGAGGCACGAAAGCGUGGGGAUCAAACAGG
rnacentral:rRNA from 1 species